rnacentral:rRNA from 1 species
AGAGUUUGAUCAUGGCUCAGGACGAACGCUGGCGGCGUGCCUAACACAUGCAAGUCGAACGGACUAAUGUUUGACACUGAGUGUUUUAAGAAGGAUCAAGAAGAGUCAAGACCCGAAGCGGGGGAGAACAUUCAGAGUUGAACAUUAGUUAGUGGCGGACGGGUGAGUAACGCGUGGGUAAUCUGCCUAAGAGUGGGGAAUAACAGUUGGAAACGRCUGCUAAUACCGCAUAAACUGCUAACGCAGCAAAGAUGGCCUCUUAACAAUGCUGUCGCUUUUAGAUGAGCCCGCGUCUGAUUAGCUAGUUGGUGGGGUAAAGGCCUACCAAGGCAACGAUCAGUAGCCGGCCUGAGAGGGUGAACGGCCACACUGGGACUGAGACACGGCCCAGACUCCUACGGGAGGCAGCAGUGGGGAAUAUUGCGCAAUGGGGGAAACCCUGACGCAGCGACGCCGCGUGAGCAAGAAGGCCUUAGGGUUGUAAAGCUCUGUUUUAAGGGACGAAUGUUCGCGUCAGUAAUAUGGGCGUGAAAUGACGGUACCUUAAGAGGAAGCCCCGGCUAACUACGUGCCAGCAGCCGCGGUAAGACGUAGGGGGCGAGCGUUGUCCGGAAUUACUGGGCGUAAAGAGCACGUAGGCGGGACAUUAAGUCAGGUGUGAAAGACCGGGGCUCAACCUCGGGGUUGCACUUGAAACUGGAGUUCUUGAGGGCAGGAGAGGAAAGCAGAAUUCCUGGUGUAGCGGUGAAAUGCGUAGAAAUCAGGAGGAAUACCAGUGGCGAAGGCGGCUUUCUGGACUGACCCUGACGCU